GGCUGUGUGUGGUUGUGAGGAGGGGUGAAGAGGUGGGUACGUGAGGGGUGGGGGUGAUGCUCUCCAGACUGUGUGCCCGGGAGCAGCCACCUGGACAUUUCCCCGCUCCCUCUCCCACCGAUGGCAGUAACGGCGCUGCCCGCGUCGGCAGUAGAACAGAGUGGGAUCCCGACGCCCAAUUUCGGAUUUUGUUUUGGAGAAAGAUGUGUGUUGGUAGUUGAAGGGGUGCGGGUUGGGGGUUGGGGAGGUAGUUGUUGUGCCUGCUCCCACGUGCCUCUCCCUGCCCCAGGAUCGAGUGUCGUUCACGACGAGAUGGGGAGGUGUGGGGUGGUUUUAUGUGCCCGCUCAGAAUAACUAACUCUAAUGAUUGAAUGAACAGUUGAAGGGGAAGCGUGCGGGUGAGCGGGUGGGAAAACACCAGAAAGUUGCUCAGUUUGCUGCAUUUGGAUGGGACUUCGGCUGCUGAACCCGUUUGGUUUGGUCCAUCAUCUGUCUCACGGGCUAAUUUGUUUCCAAACAGCAGGGUCUUUUUUUUACCCCCAGAGGGUUGUUUGUACUUUUGGGAAUCGGGCCACGUAUCGGUGUGAGAUUGUGAUUGCGGGGUUUUGAUUUAGUGCUUCAGUUCCCUCCCUGGGCUGUCUGUCUGGGUCUGACGGCGAGUCAAACCCACUCCGUGCCGUCCUUUCCAGCCCCGGACUAAUUUUCAGCUCUGCUCGUUAAUGAUCUCAGCCGAAUCCUUCGGCUCUCGUAAGGUAAAUAAGAUGGAUUUGGAUUAUGUCAUGUAUUAGCUGUGUCUUUCCUGGUAUGGUCCUUAAAAUCCUUGAAAAGAAUUAAUUAAGAAAGAUAAUCAAAUUGACUGCAAUGAUGACCCAACUUCCAUUCCUGUUUUCCCAGUAACCAAGAAACUGCAUCAGGCACCUAAUCAUACGAAGGUGGUGGGAGAUUUAGACUGGACAGUCGAAUAGCAUGCUUGUCAAGUAGAAGACCGAAUGGGAUAGAGUGAAGAAGCUAUUAAGGAUCUGCAGAAGUGUUCACAAGCCACCUGGUCGCACAUCAAAGAAGAUUGGCGGAACUUUGUUCAAAUACAUUAACAACGUCGAAAGUAGCGUACUUCAAGAGAAAAUAUGCAGAAGAAGAAGAUUUGCAUAAAGUUUACAAUGGGUACUUUCCAAAAAACCUGAUCUUUCCAGAAGAUCGAACAUGUAUUCUAAGGCUUUCACUAGAAAAACUAAGGAUUCUUGAAGACCCUGAAAUCUAUCUUCGAAGGGCUGUUUUAAUAAACAAUUUAUUGAGGAAAAUCCACAUUGAAACAGAGAAAGAAAUGUAUGACUAUGCUCAACAAUUCAAUAAGGCUUCAAAGCAUCUUUACUCUGAUGCACAGAAGAGAGUGAAGUAUAUGAUCAAGGAUUGUAAUAAAUGUUCCGAAUCUUUGUAUUAUGAAGAGAUUGGUUCAUACUCCAUUGUGCCUUUUUCUUCAAAUAAUGUCAUCUAUGGACUUGGUUAUCCAAAUGGCUAUUUGGGAAAAAGUACUUUCUAAAAUAGAAUUCCAAACAGGAUGAUGACUUGUUAGAUUUAUACCUCUGUCACUCUGUGUUUGGCAGAGAUCAAGCUUUGUAAACCAACUUAUUCACUGAAAAGUAAUGGUGAAUUUGUGCACAAGACCUAAUGGAUAUGCUCUGGUUGGAAAAUUGGUGACUUUAUAAAUCCAUAAAAUGAGAGCACUUAUGUUAAUCUUUGGUUUUGAUCUGAUCUGUUUGGAACAUUGUGUAUUUAAUGUUGUGUGUGUUUUUGUUGCUGAGUAUGGACUGUGUAGAGAUUAUUUCAAUAGAACCAGUAUGAAGUGGUGAUUUAUUGAUGUUACUCUAUUUUUAUUUUGUCAUCUCAUUUCUUCAUUAUUUCCAAUAUUUCACCCCUCCUUUUGGUUGGGUAAAAGAAUGAAAUGGAAGUUUCACUGCCAUUUUUAAUGCUGCUUUUGGAGCUUUUUCUUGUUGCUGAUGAUGAGUACCCAGUCACAUGAUUAGAAACCAACACAUUUUACCCAAGUAGAGGUGAGUAUGCUUAGGUAACCAUUGAGACUUCCAUUUUGAACAAUUAUCUCCAAAGGAUGUUUAGAUGCUCCAUUUCUGGGGCUUUUGGGUCAUUGUAAACAUAGCACUAUGGUAAUGUUGUUCAAUUAAUACUUUAUUUAGCCAAUCUUUUCACUAAGGGAGAUUGCUUGGAAACUGAACCUAUGUGGAAAUUGUGACAUGCAUUACAAUAUUAAUUAAUCAGUGUACAACAGAUUAUUUUGUUGAGUUAAAACCUCCAAAUACAGAAUUAUUUUUAAAAAAUCAGAAAUAACUUUUUGAAUGGUCAGACUUCAAAAGUGAAAUAAAACCCAAAGGCAGAGUAGAAUGAAAUGAAAUAAAUAAUCUGUUGUGUAGGUAUGUUACAGAUUGGAGCAGCUGGAUUUGAUUCCAAAGUUAUUUUUGGAUGGAGUACAAUCACCAUUUAUUGAGUCAUUGAUAAAACUGCUUACUGAUUUGUCGUCUUUAGCUAUCCAAAAACAACUUCAGUUGACUUUUGUACCUUUAUCAUCUUUUUAGUUUGAUCCCUUAUGGACUUUUUAUCAACCAAUGUAUUUGAUAUAUUGUACCUUUAAAGAUAAUAAGAACUUAAAGUUGCACCAUGGGACCAGCUAGAGUCCUGUACUAUAUCUGCUGCAACUUAGAACCAAGCUGCUGAUCUAUCUGAUAUGGUAUGGAAACAGUGGUGGUUGAACUAUAUUUGUGUGUCACAGGAAGUUAAUGCCAGAGACCUAAUAGAAUUUAAAAGAAAACUAUAAUUAAAAAAACUCCAUUUGCCUUUAAGCUUAAUGUUUGAGUAUGUUUCAGUAGCAAGUGACUUGACUUGUAUUUGACAUGAUAUUGCCAAUUUCACUUGCAACUUUCCCAAGAUGUUGCAGUAACAUUUCUAUAACGCAUCACAUCUCCAAAUGUUUUCCCUGUAGUACAGUUCUGGAAAAGACUGCAAACUAAUUAGAGACCAAUUUUAUGAACAUUUUAUAUCUGCCCAUCCUAUCAAUUACUUCAUUUACUGAUACAGUUGUUUAAUGCUUUGGUUAGCAGGGCACUAACGUUAAUUAAUUCCACUGCACUGGCCCUUUUCACACACCAGGACUAAAUGUGGCACAGCUAAGACCUCCAAGGCCAUGUCUUUUCAUUCAAUACUCUUAAUAGUGGGUUGGGAAUGAACAACUUUUCAGUUGACACUCAUGAGUCAAGGAUUGAUCAAGCAGAAAUUGUACCAAAGAGUUCUGCAUUAAUUUACAGCUUCUGAAUUUUUAUUUUGUAGCUGGACAAUCUUAUACAAACUCUAUUGUGAAUCUCCCAAUUUUUCCUCCUCCUAACGACUAUAAUUAUGCUCAUAGUCCUCUGCUCUUUCAUCAAGUUGCAUGUUACUCGUGUGGGUAUAUAUAGUGUAUAGGCAGAAUCACAUCUCAAUCCAAUCCCUGUCUUCACCCAUGAUGUAAUUUUUAGCAGAGAUCAUUAGAUUGCAGUCAGGACCAGGAAUCCCGGUUGAUUUUCUUUCUGUCUCCCAGGGAUGAAGGUACCAAGACCAGGUGAGGUGCUUGAACUGAAGUCUGGCAGAAACUGUUUCUUAACAGCUUAUACUUAAUGUGAUCAUUUAGUUGAUGUCAUUUGGUAGAUUCAGAAAGACUUAAUUUGCAUCGCUUGUGUGAUACUAUAGGAAGCAAGGUUUUCCUACUCCUCACCUUCUUUGACGCAACAGAUGAUUUCCCAUUAGUAAAGUGAAGAAGUUCCAUUUACCUUGUGCUUUUCUGGAUGUCAGGGAGUCCCAAAGUGCUUUAUAGCCAAUUAAGUUUAAUGAUGGUUGUAAAUUACAAUUAAAACUGUUUUAGAUUUUAAAAAUCUAGUCACUUGUAAUUAGAUUCCAUACAAUGACAUAUGCUCAUAUUAAAAUUAAUCACAUAUAAAUAAUUUGGGACAUGGCAGGAGAAAUUAAACUCAUGGCCAUCCUCUGCAUCUGAUAAUCAGAAUCUGAAAGUCAGGAGGUGGAAGUCAAGAGAGUGCAGGCACAUCUCUGAUACAUGUACAGACUGAACUGUAAAUAGAUAUAUUUGCCUGAAGCAUGGCAUACAGUUUCAUCAUGUAAAUUGAGGACCUAUGUUGUAGGAUCAUAAUGAAAAUAAUCACGAACAAAUAGGUAGAUCACACAAUCGGUUCCUAGUUGCACAAUGUCUUGGACAGCUUAGCCAAUUGUUUGGCAGGCUGCAUUAGGAUACCAAUUUGCUGCUUCAGUCAGCUGCUUCUGCUCAAAGAGGGCUUACACCCUUUGGUUCUGUCCUGAGGCAAGAAUGGAACAAAAUGCUCAGUUUUGAUGCAGCUUGAAUUUCUACCAGCAAGCUUUUAAGUAACUUUCAAGAUUGGACUUAAAAGGUACCAAAUUUACAUUUUGACGAUUGUAGCAAUAUCUUAAAUAAAUUUGCUGCAACCGUUUUCUCUUAUCAUCAUCAACCUUUGUAUUUCCUCAAAUAUGUUUUAUACCCCAGAAAUCGUUAGUAUUUGCUACAUGCUGUGUUCAUUUUAAAUGCCUUUUGUCUUCUCAGAAGAUUAAUGGUCUGGUCAGAACUAAAUAUACAGUUGGAUCACCACUGCAAUUACAUUGAGAAUCUAUUCAUGUUUUAUUUUUGUUUCAUCAUUGUUUAAGUCUCAGGUCUGACAUGUAAGUACUCAUGUCUGAAGUCAAAAAGUUUCUUUACAGUCUCCAGGAAUUUUCAUUCAAAUUAAAAUGGAACAUCUGCAGACGCUUGUGUGGGACCUUUCAAAUCUAUGGCUUAGAUUCAGCUCUGAAGUUUCUCAAAGCAUAGUUACUUUUACAGUAGUUUAAUAAUGCUAUCUUAAGAUAAAACUUAAAUGUAUUCUCAUUCUGCUUUCCCACUUGGUAAGUUAUUAAUAUAGGUUGAUGCAAAGUUUAUGUAAUUUUUUUAAUGUCAAAAAUCAAAAUUUUAAAUGGUGAUUUACAAGACUGCCACCCCUCUAAGCUAUCUUUGGACUUUCUAGACUGUACAGCUAUACAAGGUUAAUAGAACCGACGCAGACUCAUUUGUACCACUAAAUUUAAUGUAAACCUAUUUCCAGCAUCAUAUGAUGGACCAAAGGAGUUAUUACUUUGCUGAAAACUCUAUAACUUGGUCUUUUUCAUUGGUAAAUAUUCCUCCCUGUCACUGUAAUCUAACAAUGUGGUUCUCAUAAACGUAGUCAAAUAGUUCUAGCAAUUCUUCAUACACCCCUAGAGAUCUAAUGAGCCUGCUGUGUUACAAAAAUCAGUUUGACAUAUUGUUGCAAGUCUCUGAGUUGGCUCCAAACCAUUGUUUGGCCAGAAAUAGUCAAGAAUUCAUUAGAUGAAUGGACCAUAUUGUGCUUUGCAAAUGCUACUUACAUAUUUAGUGAUAGGAUAGUUAGCUCAGUAAAGCUUUAAAAAAUUGGAGAUCUUCAAGUUUUCUCCAUGUCAGUUGUGGUAAUUUUUGUUAAUGUGAAGCAAAUGAUGUGAUACAGUCUCCUCAAAUACCAUUUUUGUUAAAUCGGGUUGGGAACCAAUCACUGUGUAAACUUGGGAGUUCAGAUAGAAAAUUGUCUUCAGUGGAUAAAGUUAUAAAAGAGCAAAGAGAUAAUAAACCUUCAAGCUAAUGAUUAGACCAUUUUUGUCGCAAUUUAUGUGUUUUAUUCCAAUAAAAUAAAACUCCAAUAAAGAGUGCACAGAGUAUAUCCACUGAGAUAACCCCAGAUAUGGGACGCUAUGACUAUUAGGACAGGUUCUGAUGUAGCAGAGAAAUUGAAUGGGUUUAAGUGUUUUGUUUUGUAAAUUAUGAAAGAUUUUGGGGAAUAAAUGAAUAUGAUAUUAUUUCCUUCAGUUGAUAGAUCAGUGAUGUGGAAUUCAACAUCUUCAGAUUGUUAUAAUGCAUCAUGAUAAAGUUUUUAUUUGCAUAGUCAUCAAAUUAUGGAUUGUUUUGCCAUAAAUAUAGUUGACAGAUGGCAUUGCAUCUAACAAAAUAAAUGGUAACUGUUUAAGCAAAGGAAGGUAAUGAAAAUAGGAAGGAGCUAAGCAGUAGCAUUAAUUUUAAAUUAAUCCAGCUGGCUUAAACUCAGUGACUGUCUCUUCUUCUGUGCUGUAGACUUCAAAGGUUCAAAUGGUGUACUAUUUUUGGAGUAAAUUCUGAAACAUAUCUGGACCAGUAGUCUUCAUUAUUGCUUCAGGUUGGUAGACUUGUUAGUACAAUCUGACUUCACUUGCCAAUCUGUGAUUUGGAAUCUGCCUUCCUUUGGAUAAUUUUGACAGGGCCCAAGUACUAAUAUAGUCCUCAUUUUAAAUGUUGACCCGGUUGCGUUUCUGCACUCUGGAUAUAAUUGAAGCAAGUCGGUGUAAUGUUCACCUUUCACUGCUCUAGUUUGGAGUCAUAUGAAGAGAAACAGAUAAAUCUAGAUAAGGAAAUCACCCAGAAAAAUCUAAUGGCUAUCUCAAUUUGUUCUUGAUGUGUGUAUGAUUUUUGCCACUACCAUGGUAUCCUGUUCCAUGUGUUGUUUACUCUUUGUGUGAGGAACAUUCUUACAUUAGCCCUAUGUUUACAUUUUGCUGUGUUAAACCCUAUACCCUCUUAUCCUUUAUCUUGUUAAAAUUGAAUUAGUGCACAGGGUCUGCCUUUUAUAUAUUUCUUUCUCAUGCCAUGGCAAUCAGACAACGGCAUUGAUAGUUAACUUCAGGAUUAUCUGCAUUGUAGACCAUCCAAAUUCCCCAGCUGUAGAGAGGAAACUGAAGUGUCAAUUGUGAAGAAAUAUAAUGCGAGAUGGAAUGAGAAGGAAUAAAAUAAAACAAAUUCAGCCAUUUUUUAAGAUGUGUUUUCAGUAACGUAAUAAUUUGGAUUUUUAGGCCUUUAAGAUUUCACUGAAUUCAGGUAAUUUUAACUUUUGUUUGACAGUGAGCACUUGAUGUCAGCUUAGAUAUUUUAAAGAUCCAAAGUAAAACAUUACAAUUAAUGCAGUUUCUUCAGAAUAGUUUUAAAAUUGUAAAUCAAGUGUGCAGAAGCAUUUCAAUUCAUGAACAUGAUGUGAUGUAUUGGGGACCUCCAUUUCAUGCUACCCCUUCUUGUGGUGCCUCUUCAUGGAAGUUUGCAUUUCUUAGCUUUACUUAUAUGUAUGAAACCAAUGUGUGCAUUACCACAUUAAGUGCUAAAUAAUAUUGUUUCACGAUGAAAAAAAGUUCUGUAAGCUUUUAUUAUGACCAGCAUGCUUUCUGUAACUGAUGUGUACAGCUUGUGUUACAUAUGUUCUUCAGGUAUGGUAAUGUUCAGUACUUUGCUAAAGUAAAUGUGCCUUAAUGUAAUGAAUGUGAACGGAAUUUUUUUUAAGUAAAAUGUGCACAGUGGCAUAAUGUUGUGAGAACACAUAUAGACCAAGUUUUAUUAGUUUCUCUAUGUUAGUUGUUAUUUUCACAUAUUGUGAAGUGUAAUGAAGGUAACUAUUCCUAGAGUAAUUGCAGUAUUUAAUGUUCAAUGUAAUGUGUUCUUUAAUGAAAA